AUUGAACGCUGGCGGCAUGCUUUACACAUGCAAGUCGAACGGUAACAGGUUAAGCUGACGAGUGGCGAACGGGUGAGUAAUGCAUCGGAACGUGCCCGGUCGUGGGGGAUAACGCAGCGAAAGCUGCGCUAAUACCGCAUACGAUCUAAGGAUGAAAGCGGGGGACCGUAAGGCCUCGCGCGAUCGGAGCGGCCGAUGUCAGAUUAGGUAGUUGGUGGGGUAAAGGCUCACCAAGCCAACGAUCUGUAGCUGGUCUGAGAGGACGACCAGCCACACUGGGAAUGAGACACGGCCCAGACUCCUACGGGAGGCAGCAGUGGGGAAUUUUGGACAAUGGGCGAAAGCCUGAUCCAGCAAUGCCGCGUGCAGGAAGAAGGCCCUCGGGUUGUAAACUGCUUUUGUACGGAGCGAAAAGGUCUCCUCUAAUACAGGGGGCUCAUGACGGUACCGUAAGAAUAAGCACCGGCUAACUACGUGCCAGCAGCCGCCGUAA
rnacentral:rRNA from 1 species